UUAUAGCCCCGAUGGAAACGGCAUCCUUUUUGUUUACAAAAAGAUACAGUGCACAGCGGGAGUAAGC
rnacentral:sRNA from 1 species